GCCCGGAUGGCGGAACAGGUAGACGCAGCGGACUUAAAAUCCGCCUGUUAUUGCAACCGUGCCGGUUCUACCCCGGCUCUGGGCACCA
rnacentral:tRNA from 1 species